UGUCAGAUCAUGGGGUCAGAGUGUGAGUUCUAGAGCCUGUGAGAAUUGCACUUUCCCUGGGGUUCUCACUUGGUGUUCUUUAAAAACAAGCACAUCUUGCUUGGUAGACCAGGGCCGUUUGGAUGGUCCUUUUUUUUUUGUUUUUUUGUUUUUUUUUUGGCAAAAGUUUUCCUCUGGUUGGAUUCUGACUGGGAGUCAAGAUUUUUAUCUGACUAGAUAACUGUGUUUGUGGAAAGCAGCAAUUUUUUUGUUCUAUGCACAAGGGGAUAGAAUCAAGAAAGAAGAUAGAGAUUUCAAAGGUAUCAUACUUCACUGGGAAAAAAAGUUUUCAACAUGAAGAAAGAAAUCUCUUAGUACCAGGAAUCUUUGUUGAGGGUAACCCAACAUACAUACCCAAUUGCCUGGGUCGGGGCUCUUUCCCCAAAUGCAGAAAGUUCUGGGCAAACUGGGGGGUUGUACAGUCUGUCUGAUGAGAUGGGAAUGGACACCAGAGGACUUGGAUCUAUUUCAAGAUCUGCCACUGGGGCCUGUGUCAUAUCUGGCACAUCACUAAACCCUCAGGUCCUCACAUCACAUCUAACAGGGUUUAUAAUAAUGACACCAUCUUUGGAGACUUCUAGGAAGAUAUAAUGAGAUUACACACACACACACACACACACACACACGUGUACUUAUCAAUGAUAAGCUGUAAGAGUCAAUAGCAACAUUAAGUGAAACACAGUGGCAGCAGUGACAAUAAACGUAGCUUCCACACCUGGUUUGCUCUUUAA
rnacentral:lncRNA from 12 species